GUUGUCACUCCGCAGAGGCACAUACAGUAGGCUACACAGUUGGAGUUGCGCUGGGCGGAUUCAGUACUAAGCCACUGCAUAUUCAAGACACGUCUAUUUUAAUCUAAAACUUUUCAAUUGCAUCUUCCUUCGUCUAUCAGACGUCCACAGACGCUGAGUUCAUUUGUUGUCACCGUUGCUUCGUUACAGGACUGUAAUUAAAAAAACAGUGGCGCUGCGUUUUCAACAAGGUUUGUGUCACUUUGUAUAUGAUUCCUUGUUUCUAUGCUGUACAUAAAAUGGAAGAAGAAGUUAUUUUGUUAUGUAGC